rnacentral:rRNA from 1 species
UACGGGGGGGUAAGGCGUUGUUCGGAAUUACUGGGCGUAAAGGGCUCGUAGGCGGCCAACUAAGUCAGACGUGAAAUCCCUCGGCUUAACCGGGGAACUGCGUCUGAUACUGGAUGGCUUGAGUUUGGGAGAGGGAUGCGGAAUUCCAGGUGUAGCGGUGAAAUGCGUAGAUAAUCUGGAGGAACACCGGUGGCGAAGGCGGCAUCCUGGACCAACACUGACGCUGAGGAGCGAAAGCCAGGGGAGCAA